rnacentral:rRNA from 1 species
UACGAAGGGGGCUAGCGUUGCUCGGAAUGACUGGGCGUAAAGGGCGCGUAGGCGGUUUGUACAGUCAGGUGUGAAAUCCCCGGGCUUAACCUGGGAAUGGCCAUGGAAACUGGCGAACUGGAGUGCGGCAGAGGGGGGUGGAAUUCCGCGUGUAGCAGUGAAAUGCGUAGAGAUGCGGAGGAACACCGAUGGCGAAGGCAGCCCCCUGGGCUAGCACUGACGCUCAGGCACGGAAGCGUGGGGAGCAAACAGG